rnacentral:lncRNA from 1 species
GAGCAUAAUCAGAAAAAAAACAUUAGCCCAUAAAUUAAGAGGGUAAACAAAAACUGAGGCUUUUCUUAAUCAUAAAAGCUCUAGAAAUUGGUCAUAAACUUGUUCUUCAGCAAGGCUCGCAGUCUAAUUUAAACAUGAUAUCCAUCUUAAUUACGAGAAAAACCUGCAAGUUUAAUAAGACAAGUAGAAGUGGAUCGCAUAAGACCAGAGAAAUCCAUAAGCUAAAAGCAGUACCUGGUCACCAUUGUUGCGGAUGAGAAAGUCCCUCUCUUCCGACGAAAGAAGGGAUGAAAGGUCGUGCGAAACGUCUUCGUUGGCCAUUGUUAAGUGAUGAACUACUCAAAAGGCUAUAACAAUUGUCGAUUCCAAACGCUAUUUAUUGGGACAAACUGGGAUGGUUCCUUUUAAGUUACUUGCACAGCACGCCGAGUGAACUAUCAUACGUCAACGAUGACAUGUAAAUUUGGAUGGUGAUGACAAAAACAUCAAUCCACGUGGAACACACCUCCUCUUGCUUUUUUUAUUUAAAAAGAAAAAGAAAAGGAAAAAGAAAAAACAUAUUCAUUUUUUUUUAAUUUCUCUCUCUUUUUAUUUUUUUAGUCACUCUUCACUUUUUACCUUUUUUUUUUCAAGAAUCUGAAUUCUAGGUUUCUUCUUUUAUUAAGAGAUAAUUAUAAAAAACCUCUUAUGAUUUCAUUAUGUUUCACUUUACCCUAGUACUUUUUGAAAUUAUAUUUUACAUUCUUUAUAAAAUAAAAAUUUAAAAAUGAUAAAAUAUCCAAAUUAUCUUUAUCUAUAAAUAUGAGAAAAUUAAUUGAAUAACAGAUCAUAUACUCACACUCUCUUUCUUGUCCUACUUUCUCUUUCUAAAAAUCAUAAUCUCUCUCUUCUUUGACAUCUAUUAUCAUAAUUUGUUUAAUCGAUCUGAUUUUUGUUCUUGUUUCCUGUGGAAUUCCUUCCUCUUCAUGUUUAGAACUCGACAAAGUUGGAAUCCUUUUCAUUGUUGUUAGCCCAAAGAUCUCUAGUAUAUAUGGUUUUAGUAAUUUUAAUGAUCAUAACAAUUUAGUGAAUUUAAUAUGUUUGUUAAGAUUUGAUAUUAUAAGGAUUUUUCUAUUAUGUCAAAUUAGAGCAAAAUAGAUUCUUUUGAUGUAAACUUAACUUUGGAUGUCUAAACUUAGAGUUAUGUAAUCAAGUCUUUAAAGAAUUUAAUUUUUCACACAAAAAUGAUUUUUAUCCAAAAAGAUUCUUUAUUAUUGAAUUUAUACAUAUUGAAAAAUAGUUUAUGAGAAAAUCUUUCAUCAAAUAUUUUAGAUUGUUACUAAAAGUUUUUUGGAAUGGAAAGUAUAAACUUAAUUAAAUGAUUUCUUGUGUUUUGAUUACACUAAAAAUUUCUUGUUCAUUUUCAACGUACCUAAGUGAGUUGUGACUUUUCCACACUCAAAAGUGCAUAAUACAACUCUGUCAUUCUCCUUUGCUAAACACAAGAAGCAUGUUUAAAUUUCUCAUUUAAUAAUAAUCAAUGGAAGAUAAUAAAAUAAGUUGGAUUUGAGUUUUACUUAAUUGUUCCAUUUAAAACAUCCAAAUUCAUUAUCCAACUCUGACCUAAUUAAAUUAGGUUAAAUCGGGGAUGAAAAAGUUUUUUUUCAAGUUAAAUUUUAUGUUUUAAAACCAGUUUAGGAGUUUUUUGAGUUGACAGUAGAGGUUUUUUUUUGUUCGGUUUGGUUUUGAUAAAAAAAAAAGACAACUUUAUUGAAAAUUUAGUUUUUUAGGGUUUUGAACCCGAAAUCGGUUCAAAGCUAUCGGGUUCGGCUUGGUUCAGUCUUUUUUUUUCAAAACUUGUUCAAAUCGACAUUAUUUCAAUUGAGAUUUUUUAUAGGCCUCGCUUUUUAGGUUUUUAUUACAAUGGAUCCAAGUUAUUUUUACUAUUUUUGGGUUUUUCAAGAUUUGUUUUGAAUUUUUUCAUAAAAGGUUUGUGUUGUUUUAUUACAAAGGCUUUUCAUGCCCAUAAAUAAUUAUAUGAAUUUUUACUUCAACAUAAACAUACAUAGUUGAUGCGAAUUCGGAGAGUAAAAUCCCUUGAACCCUCACACAAGAAAAAAAAAUCCAAAAAAGCUAAAAUCAAGUUGAAAAGAACUCAACUUAGUGGUUAUCUAAACCAAAGAAUUGUCAUAACCCAUUUUUGGGUUCUUCCAAAUUACAUUUCUUUUCUAAAAAAAAAAAACACAACACUGAAACAAUGCCGUUUUGAAUAGCAUUGUUCUCCUUCUUCCCUGCGCAUGCAGAGGCAGGGAAGAACAAGAUUUUAAAUCAUUUUUCCCGCUCUCUUUCCCCUCCCACUUGCACAAAACCCAUACCUAUAAACCCAUACCCUGCCAAGAAAGGGGCACCAUGCCCUGUAAACGCCAGCCACCUUACCCUGCAGAGGUAAGGUAGCCCAGCUCCCCCUGCACCAUGAUGGGACAGAGCAGGGGGGUUCCUCUCCGCUUGCUUAUAAAUAGAAGGAGGAGGAACCAGCAAAAGGGGGGUGAUUUUUUGGGCAGAGAGAAAGACAAGAAGAGGGAGGAGAAAUUUUUUGGAGAGAAGAGGGAAGCAAGCUGCAGAAACGGAGGGAGAAAAGGAAAAAAAAGGAAACCAAGGGGUGGCAAAAUUUUGGAGAAGGAACAGAGGACGAAUGCGAGAGAGGAGGAGGGGGGAGAACAGAAAACAGAGGGGAGAGUUUGUUUUUGAGAGGAGUGAAGCUCGGGCAAAACAGAAGAAAAAAGGAAGAAGAUUUUAAAGACAGAUAAGAGGAGCAGAGAAGGCCAGAAACAGAGGACAACGCUGAGAAGGGAAGGAGAACCACCGGCCAAGCAGCUCACCCAGUUCCCCUAUUGCCACCAGCACCGUGAGCUGUCAGCAGCACAUCCAUGGUAGAGAGAGGAGGACGUUGUUGACAGAGGCAACACACACGGACAAGAAGAACAGCAGCACCACCACCAACGCCAUUGCCAAGUCUUGGAAGUGAAAACAAAGAAGGAGAGAAAGGAGGAAGAACCACCGGUUACUGUCUGUAUAGCUGCCACCAGCGCCACCCUAAAGCAACCGCCAGCUGCCACCAUCCUCCCCGUCAUUGAUAACAGACCUGCACCGUGAGAAACAAAAGAAGAAACACUGAAAAAACAGAAACAGAGGAGAACAGAGCAGAAGAAAAAAAACAUAGAGAAGAAGAAGAAAGGCCGAUCACCGUCCAAGCCGUUCUCCGGUCAGCAACCGCCAGCAGCACAACCUCGAAGCCACAGCAGGUCCGCCCCUCUUCCUUCUUCUUCUUCGUUGCACCAUCUUCACUGUUCUGCGUGAACAGUGGAGAGUGAAUUAAUUCACUCUCCACUGUUCACUGGGCCAGACGACUUGUCCCAGCCUAAAAUCAGCGGGCCGGGUCCGGCCCAGUCAAAAAAAAAUUCAAAAUUUUUUUUUUUUUUGAAAAUUUGUGAUUCUUCCGCAUAUUAUUCUACUAAAUUUUGCUUAAUAUUGGUUUGUAUUUUUAUAUCAUAAAAAUACAAAUCCGGUAUUAAAAUACCCGAUUUUCGUCAAAAUUUUUUUUUUAAAAAAAUGUUUUGGUUUUCAUGCAUACGGCCAAGUCUCUCAAAGAAAAGAUCACGUCAUAUUUUCAUACAACAAAGAAAACUUCAAAAAAAAAAUAUGUUUUAGCAUGCAUUUUGGCUUUAAUAACCAGUUUAUUAAAGUCACGAGAACUUGGCCAAAAUUUCAAAAAUUCCAAAAAAAUUAUUUUGUUUUCUUUUAAUAUCAGGGAUUAUGAAUUUAUACGUAAAACAUAUUCCCGAUAUUAAAAAGGUAGUUCUUUUAUUAACGUUAGGACGGUUAGGUUUUACCCGAUAAGAUGAGGAUCUCCUUACCGAGGACUUUUCUUAAACCAUAGGCAGACCAACAAUUAGAAAUACAAUACAACCGUAGCAUAUAUAAGGCAAUAAAACAAUACAGCUUACCUUAGGUAGGGCGUAUUUGGGGUGCUAAUACCUUCCCUUUAUACAACCAGUCCCCGUACCCGAUCUCUGAGACCAGUUAGGGUUCCUAGUAACCAAAAUACUAGGUGGCGACUCCAUUCUAUUUUUCCACUGAUAAAAGACAAGAAUUCCUUGUCUUCCCAUAUUUUCCAGAUACACACCAUGAGUGUGGAGGACGAUCGCCGCGACGCCGCACACGUGCGACAGAAUGGCGACUCCGUUGGGGACCUUGUGGACUAAGCUUUGUUUUUGUCUGAUCAUCGUGUUUUAUUGUUUGGUUUUGUGUUAUUGUUAAUUUUCAUUCUCAUUUGCUCAUACGCUUUAAUUUUUUUACAUAUUUGUUCAUGCAUUGUAUAAAAUUAUUUCAUGCAUCAUUCACAUUUGAGGGGAAUUAUAACUUUAGGUUAAAUGGGGGAUUAGCAGCUUACCUUAUGACUUUUAGUCAAGGUUUAAGUUUGUGUAAACCCCAACUCUUCGCUGAGAGCUUAGACUAGUAAUGAUUGGUGCAUAUGUCAUCCCAUUACCUACUAAGCCCCUAUAUUGCCUUCACGAGGGUGAUCACUGGGACAACAAGAGACCCUUUUGAAUAGGUAGAAAGCCACCAUCAUGUAAUGGCCCAAACCUAUCCUUAGAGUAUGAACUCCCUAAUACGCAUGUACAUACAUUUGCAUCGUACACAUACAUCCAUUCAUUGUAAAUAACAUACAUACAUGCCAGGUUGAAAUAUAGGUCCCCAAAGAGUCUACAACACCCGACUUCGAACGAGAAACAUGGAAGAUGAAGGGCGCGCUCACCGUGACGCCCAUUUUCAAGAAGAGUUGGAGUCUCUGAAGACAAGUGUGGCUCGCCUCACCAGCUUACUCGAGCAAAUACUGGAAAACAUACUCUGGUGAAGUUCCAUCCAACCAACCUCUCAUCUUUGUUCAAACCCUAACAACGACUCAGCCCGAAGAAAUAAAGGGCAAACAUGGUCAAGCGCCUCAACACAAUCCAACAUUUCUGUAAAAGCUUUUGUGGGAAGGCUGACCGAAGGGGAAUUGCAUCACAGUUGCAGAAUGGAGCCUGUUCUUGUUCUGCCAAAAAAUAACUAGCUCUGUUUGAUCAUGCCUGCAAAGCUUCUUGAUUUUUGUUUUAACCUGUUUCAGUCUUGUUGGUUGGCUUAUAAUGCAACAAGACUUUCUUUGUCAAAAGAGCCUUCUUGUUAAUAAGAUCAAGUGUUUUCUUGUGUUCAUGACAUGCCUUCAUUUUGUUGCUGUCUCAUGCAAAUAACACAUUGAGCAUAACCUUUAAGCAUGAAACCAUUGCGCUAAGAAUCUUUUGGUGUGUUUCCCUUUUCUUCCCAAAACAAUGCAUGAUCACACAUAUUCACAAAGAUUUUUUGGGAAUUCAAAGUUUAGUACAAAAACAGAAAUCAUGUUGGUGUUUGUCCGAAACAAAUGAGUUCUGGAAAUUCAGGUGAUUCCUUAUAGAGGUAACCAUACACCUAGAAAACCCGAAAAAAAAACAAAAAAAACAAAAACACCAUGAAGUGACUCCAAAAACUGAGUUUUAAUUGGAUGAAUAAUGAGAAACCAUUUUGCAUACUCGCAUGAAAGCAAGGCUUACCGAUCCUAAAUGCAUGAGUUUGGAAUGAAGAAAGACCAUCUUUGAUAAUCCUUUCACGAAACUAAAAUAUAUCCUUUGAUGUCCUUUUUUAGCCUAGUAUUGUUUUUAGAAAUAACUUUGGCUAGGAUCACACCCUACACUAGGGGGCAAGUGCGAGAGACAUAGAAAAAAAAAACCAUUAAUGAUUGAAAGUGCCCAAACAACACUAGGGGGCAUAAAAAAAAAUUCUCAAUCAUCAAAGGUGCCUUAACAAAACUAGGGGGCAUGAAGAAAAAUCCAAAAGAUCUGAGCUUCUAAACAAUAACUGAUAUGAUGAUGCUCGACCAAGUGAGGAAUGAAGAGAAAGAGCCCAAGCCCAACAUUGGGGGCCACGAUAUACCAUUUCAAAAAUAAAUUUAAAUGACAAAAGAUCAAGAAACAAGCAUAAGUGAUCCUUAGUCUUGAAAUCCCUUAAACACCUUUUGAGCUUGCAAAUAUCCCAUUCUUCAUAACCAAUAGCCCAAGCCUACAUUACGUGCCUAAUCAAGCCCUUUCUGAUCAAAAGCAAGCAAUAUGGAUCGGUAGGCAGUGCUUUCUCAUGCGAACCAAAUCAUUAUUCAUGCAAAUAAAAUAAAUGCUUUGAAAAUCGGUUCUCUGUAACCUUCAAAUUGAAUUUCGAACCAUCGUUUUUACCAACCAGAUGUCACUUCAUAUUUUUCACCAAAAUCAAAACAAAAAUUUUUCAUCACUUUUGAAAACCUCUCCAUAGAAAUCACUUGAAUUUCUUCAGAAUAAGUUUGCUUUGAAUCGAUGUCAAAAUGAUUUUUGUGUUUGGAAUAGCUUCGAAAUUCCAAAAUUUCUACAUGAAAACAACUCCUUAUCAAAAACCAAACCUUCCUUCAAACAGCCUCAUCCCUAAACCCGAAUUGAAUACUUAGGGGCAUGAUCAAGCUGGGGGGCAAUCAAAAGCUCCUGGUAGGGCUGGCUCCAUGAUUCCCUUUCUAAGAAAAAUGUUGGGCAAGAUUGGCAACCCUUGAGAUAAAGGGUGAAGGACAAAGAAGUAUGAUGAUAUCAAGCCCUUCCCAGAGAUCAAGAUCACAAGAGAUGACUCGAGUAAGCAAGAGAGAAAAAGCCAUCGAAGUUUACUGCCAACACUCCAAACUUUUAAGAAAAGAAAGACACCAUGAAGAAAUGAGGACCUAUAUUUCUCAGGUAAGUAUACAUGCAUAUAAAUCAUAAUGCAUUGCUUUCAUCAUUGAUAGAUCGAUAUUACACCUUCUUUCGAGUGCGCCUUUGUGCCCUCACUUCAUUUCAAGUGCGCCUUUGAGCCACCAUUUUUAGGUAAUGCGUUUUGUAACCCUACCACAUUUCGAGUGCGCUUUUGAGCCCUCACCAACAUUUUUCUGGGUAGGUCACCCAUUACAAUUCAACCACUUCUUCAUGUUUUUUUAUCUUGGUAGGUCACCCAUUACAAUGAGGCUGUUUUUCCACUUGGGUAGGUCACCCAUUACAAUGAGACCACUCUUUCUUUUUCCUUGGAUAGGUCACCCAUUAUAAUAAAGCCAAUAUUUUUUCUGGGUAGGUCACCCAUUACAAUAAGACCAUUCCUCCACCUGGGUAGGUCACCCAUUACAACACGACCACUCUUUUUUUUUUCAUUUUUGGGUAGGUCACCCAUUACAACUCAACCAUUCUUCGUGUUUUUUUAUUUGGGUAGAUCACCCAUUACAAUGAGACCAUUCCUCCACCUGGGUAGGUCACCCAUUACAACACGACCACUCUUCCUUUUUCCUUUUCUGGGUAGGUCACCCAUUACAAUUCGACCACUUCUCCAUGUUUUUUUUAUCUGGGUAGGUCACCCAUUACAAUGAGACCACUCUUUCCUUUUUCCUUGGGUAGGUCACCCAUUACAAUGAGAUCAACAUUUUUUCUGGGUAGGUCACCUAUUACAACUCGACCAUUCUCCAUGUUUUUUUAUCUGGGCAGGUUACCCAUUACAAUGAGACCAUUCCUCCACCUGGGUAAGUCACCCAUUACAAUGAGACCACUCUUUCUUUUUCUAUUUAGGCAGGUCGCCCAUAAAAACAGACCAGGGUAAGUGUGUGUGGGCAGGUCGCCCGUGAAAAUAGACCAGUAUGAGUGUGUGAGCAGGUCGCCCGUGAAAAUAGACCAUUGUGAGUGUGUGUGGGUAGGUCGCCCGUGAAAAUAGACCACUGUGAAUAUAUAGGCUGGUCGCCCCUGAAAAUAGACCACUGUGAGUAUGUAUGGGCAAGUCACCCGGGGAAAAAGACCAUUUUUGUUUUUUUCUUUACAAGCUUACUAUGCAAAGCAUCGAGGAGUUUUUUUGCUUCGUAAGCAUUGUAAAGAGGGGGGCAACUGUCAUAACCCAUUUUUGGGUUCUUCCAAAUUACAUUUCUUUUCUAAAAAAAAAAACAGAACACUGAAACAGUGCCGUUUUGAACGGCACUGUUCUCCUUCUUCCCUGCGCAUGCAGAGGCAGGGAAGAACAAGAUUUUAAAUCAUUUUUCCCGCUUUGUUUCCCUUCCCAUUUGCAUAAAACCCAUACCUAUAAACCCAUACCCUGCCAAGAAAGGGGCACCAUGCCCUGUAAACGUCGGCCACUUUACCCUGCAGAGGUAAGGUAGCCCAGCUCCCCCCUGCACCACGAUGGGACAGAGCAGGGGGGUCCCUCACCGCUUGCUUAUAAAUAGAAGAAGGAGGAACCAGCAAAAGGGGGGCGAUUUUUUAGGCAGAGAGAAAGACAAGAAGAGGGAGGAGAAAUUUUUUGGAGAGAAGAGGGAAGCAAGCUGCAGAAACGGAGGGAGAAAAGGAAAAAAAAGGAAACCAAGGGGUGGCAAAAUUUUGGAGAAGGAACAGAGGACGAAUGUGAGAGAAGAGGAGGGGGGAGAACAGAAAACAGAGAGGAGAGUUUGUUUUUUAGAGGAGUGAAGCUCGGGCAAAACAGAAGAAAAAAGGAAGAAGAUUUUGAAGACAGAUAAGAGGAGCAGAGAAGGCCAGAAACAGAGGACAACGCUAAGAAGGGAAGGAGAACCACCGGCCAAGCAGCUCCCUCAGUUCCCCUAUUGCCACCAGCACCCUGAGCUGUCAGCAGCACAGCCACGGCAGAGAGAGGAGGACGUUGUUGACAAAGGCAACACACACGGACAAGAAGAACAGCAACAGCACCACCAACGCCAUUGCCAAGUCUUGGAAGUGAAAACAAAGAAGGAGAGAAAGGAGGAAGAACCACCGGUUACUGUCUGUAUAGCUGCCACCAGCGCCGCCCUAAAGCAACCACCAGCUGCCACCAUUCUCCCCGUCAUUGAUAACAGACCUGCACCGUGAGAAACAGAAGAAGAAACACUGAAAAAACAAAAACAGAGGAGAACAGAGCAGAAGAAAAAAAACACAGAGAAGAAGAAGAAAGGCCGAUCACCGUCCAAGCCGUUCUCCGGUCAGCAACCGCCAGAAGCACAGCCUCGAAGCCACAGCAGGUCCGCCCCUCUUCCUUCUUCUUCUUCUUCGUUGCACCAUCUCCACUGUUCUGCGUGAACAGUGGAGAGUGCUCCACUGUUCACUGGACCAGACAAGUCUGGCCUAGCCUAAAAUGAGCGGGCCGGGUCCGGCCCGGUCCUAAAACAAUUCAAAAAAAUAUAUAUUUUUGAAAAUUUGUGAUUUUUCUGCAUGUUCUUCUACUAAAUUUUGCUUAAUAUUGGUUUGUAUUUUUACAUCGUAAAAAUACAAAUCCGGUAUUAAAAUACCCGGUUUUCGUCAAAACUUUUUUUAAAAAAAAAAUUUUUUUGGUUUUCAUGCAUACGGCCAAGUCUCUCAAAGAAAAGAUCACGUCAUAUUUUCAUACAAAAAAAAAGUCACGAGAACCGGGUAUUUUUAAAAAAAUAUAUGUUUUAGCAUGCAUUUUGGCUUUAAUAACCAGUUUAUUAAAGUCACGAGAACUUGGCCAAAAUUUCAAAAAUUCUAAAAAAAUUAUUUUGUUUUUUUUUAAUAUCAGGGAUUAUGAAUUUAUACGUAAAACGUAUUCUCGAUAUUAAAACGGUAGUUCUUUUAUUAACGUUAGGACGGUUAGGUUUUACCCGAUAAGAUAAGGAUCUCCUUACCGAGGAGGACUUUUCUUAAAUCAUAGGCAGACCAAUAAUUAGAAAUACAAUACAACCGUAGCAUAUAUCAGACAAUAAAACAAUGCAGCUUACCUUAGAUAGGCCGUAUUUAGAGUGCUAAUACCUUCCCUUUAUCCAACCAAUCCCCCUACCCGAUCUCUGAGACCAGUUAGGGUUUCUAGUAACCAAAAUACUAGGUGGCGACUCCAUUCUAUUUUUCCACUGAUAAAAGACAAGAAUUCCUUGUCUUCCCAUAUUUUCCAGAUACACACCAUGAGUGUGGAGGACGAUCGCCGCGACGCCGCACACGUGUGACAAGAAUCUUAGUUAUUGGAUGAAAAAACUUAACCCAAUGAUUAUAAUGAACCACUAACUAAAGGUAUAAGGAUGAAACCCCAACCCGUUGAUUGUAAUAAACUAAAAUAUAUAGGUAUAUGGAUAAAACCCCAACCCGUUGAUUAUAACGACCUAAGAACUAUAGGUGUAAGGAUGGAUGUCAUAAAGAGAGUUGAUCUUUGAUAAGUUUUUUAAAAAGUUCCAUGAGAAACCAAGAGUAUGAGUAAACUUUUUCACACACAAUAAUAUUCUGAAUAAUCAAUCCAUCUCAAAUUAUUAAAAAAAAAACUAAAUAUAAGUUAAAUAACUAUAUUUAUACUAGGAAAAAUGAGAAAUGCUAAAAAAAUAACAAGAGUUCUAAAUAAAAAAGAAAAAAGAAUUCUAAAUUAAUUGGGAGACUAAUGCAAUUCUUGUAUAGUAGCUUUUGAUCUUUAUCGUAAGGUCUUAUCAAUAUUUAAUUGCUAUUAUAUUUCAACUCCAUAUAAAACAAGGAUUUUAGAAUCAUCAAGAAAAUUUGAAGCCCAAUCCACAUGUAAGGAGGAAAAUAAGUUGAAUCUGUAAGUCUUAUAGAAAAGAAAAUCAAAUAUCUUGAAAUAAUCACUAAAUAUUUCUUUAACCUUCUUAGCUCUUGACCUGGCACAUGUAAUUAAUCAUGUGGUAUUGCUUGAUGGUUUCAGCAACAAUGCUUCAAUUCAUCCAAAUUGAUAACAAAAAAAAGUUAAUGAAAUCUAAAAAGUUGCUCUCCAUCAAAAGAUGACAACAAAAGCUUUCAUCAAAAUCUUAACCAUCACAACAAGUAGCUCCCUAGUUUUCAAUAUUCGUAAUUAAUGAGUCAAUAUUCGUAAUUAUCACUCAUAAAUUAUCACUCAUGGUUUACAGGGUGUUUUAUAGAUGUUUUGGGUCAAAACAAGUUACAAAACAGGUUUUUGGGUCAAAUGAGCAUAAACCCUAAUUUUCCAGCAACCACAGUGGCUAGAACCUGGACGAAACAGGUGGACAUGACUGUCACACCCAAGAUCAUGAAUUGGGUCUGGCAGUCAUGCCAAAUCCAAGGCGUUUGGGGCAAGCAGUCAUACAAGACUUAAACAUCUUGGGUCAGGCAAGGAUUGAGUCUGGCAGCCAUACCAUUGGGUCUAACAUGGUUGCCUGCCUAAGCACUUUGGGUCAGGCAUGGAUUGGGUAUGGCAGGCAAGCCAGACCCAAUCCAUGGGUUUGGUAUGGUUGCCAUCAUAGUUAUCAGACUCGGCUUGGCCCUGCAGGUCAACCCAGGACCCGGGUGACCUGGGGUCUUAGCUAGGUACAUUUCAUUUAAAAUUCGGGCCUGCAAUUGGCCUAGAUAAAACCGGUCAUCUUAUCGGGUUAACCCGGAACUCGGGUGACCCAGCAAAACCCGGUAGAGACCUGUUUUUUUUUUUCAAAUAUAUUUUUUCUCUUAGCCAGAGACCCCUCUUUUUUCAUAUUUUUUAGUUUGUUAUAACUCAUUUCAAAGUUCACUAUAUAAAUACUAGAAGAAUGUUUUUAUUUUUUCAAUGUGAGAUUUGAAGCACUGUAGUAUUAUAUACUCUAUGUUCACAAGAAAAAGUUAUGUUUUUUCAAUGUGGGAUAAAAAAACCUUUUUGGUUAAAUACUUCAACUUAAAAUAAUAUGAUAGUAUCUUGCAAAUGUGGGAUAGAAAACCUAUUAAAAUAAUCUUUUAAACUUAAUUAUUUACAACAUGUAUGACAUAUAUUCACAUAGAUUAUUUUUUAAUUUUUUUCAUAUGAAAUAUUAAAACUUCAAAUAUUUUUUUUAAAUUUUUCCAAGUUGACCCGAGUCAACCAGUGUGACCCGAGUCUCGGCUCCUGAGUCGGGUCAACCCCUGAGCCGGGUUUGAUAACUAUGGGUGCAAUAAAAAUAUAAAUUUAAAGAAUGCAAUUAAAAAAAUAAAGUGACGUGACUGGUUAAAAAAUAAAAACUGAAAAAAUGUAAAGAACCUCUUUCUUUUUUGUUCAGGGAGCCUCUUUUAAAUAAUAUUGAUUUUUUUGUUAUGUGUUUAAUUUUCGGAGUAGUUUUUUUUGUUCAUCUAUGUUUAUUUUUAGAUGAUAUUUUUAAUAUGUGUAGUUUUACAUGUUAUUUUUUAAAAAAAUUUAUUCAAUUAAUUUAAUGUCUUAUUUUUCAAGAUUCAAUAUAUUGAUCUACAUUUGUCUCUCAGUUUUUUAAAUCUUGUUUUUAGAUGUCAUUAAUGAUUUUUUAUUGAUUUAUUAGCGCACAUAAUUCUUAGUUUAUUUGAUUACUUAUGUGCAUCAAUAUUUUGAUUUGUUAUAGUUUUUGAACUAUCAAAAUACAUUGAAAAAACCUGUAUAAAUAUUUUUUUAUAAAAAUAAAAAUAUUUAACUUACAGCGAAGCGCGGGACACGUAGCUAAUAAAUUCUAUUAAAUGAGUUAGCAAGGUAGAAAACAAACUUGUAAUAGAUUUGUGCACAUUGCCAUUUCACCAUAAGUUACAUUAGCUCUCAAAACUUUUACGUAGAAACUUAUAAUACUAGAACUAACCAAACAUACUACCAGAAAUGUACUAAUCUUGCAACAAAAUAAGAAUCAACACAUCAAAUUUCCUUAGUGCCUUUGAAACAUAAAAUGUAAAUUAUUAGGGCACAAUUAAUAAUAACUUAUAGGUAAUAAUUAAUCUUCAUCAAAUAUGCUAAAUAACAUAAAUCAACUUUGUCAAACAUAAUUAUUGUGAAUAUUGAUAUUUUUUUUAGCCCUGUUUGUUUCAUGAAAAAUGGUUUUUUAGAAAUUAUUUUCCAAACUUUUCUGUGUUUAUUUGUCAUUAGAAAAAUUAAUCAACAAAAAAAACUUUCCAAUCAAAGAAAAAUUUAACUUUGUUUCUAGAAAAGUGUUUUUCUUUUAUUUUGGGUGGAAAACACUUUCUAGAAGUUGUGAAAAAUUUAGAAAUGUCUUGUUAUUUGCUGAUUAUAUCAAAUUUGAUCCUCAAACUUUUAAUUGUUAUAUAUUUUUUUUUGAUUUUUUUCUUUCAAUUUCAUCAUUUAGAAUUUGAUUUAAUUUGAUUUUUAUAUCAAUUUUGGUCUUUAUUUUUAUUAUUGUUAUUUGCUUUUCUCUUGUCAUUUUCUUAAUUGAAAUUUUUUUAUCUAUCAAAUCUGGUCCUUAUUUUUUUUAUUGUUAUUUAUUUUAUUUUAAAUAAUUUAUAAAAUUAUAUUUUUUUUUAAUUUCAUCAUCUUUCAAUGUUUUUAUUUGUUAGAUUUGAUCUCUAUUAUUUUGAUUGUUAUUUAUUUUAUUUGAGAUAAUUUAUGAAAUUAGAUUUUUUUUAUUUUAUUAUCAUUCAACUUUUUAGUUUGUAAGAUUUGUUCUUUAUUAUUUUAAUAAACUUGAAAAAGAAUUAACAAUUUAUUUUCCAGCUUAUUUUUCAUGACAUAGUCAAAUACAAGAAAGUAUUUUUUAACUUAUUUUAUAUGAUACUAUCAAAUAUCAAAAAAUAAUUUACUUUUUAAAAAUUUAAUUUUUAAAAAAAUUACCUUUUAAAAAAAUAUAUGUUUUUAGCAAACAAAAGGGUUAAUGUUAAAUUUUUUUAUAUAUGACAUGCGGGCAGAGUGCAAGCCAGCUAGCCGGAUGGUUUUUGGUGGAUGUUCUUUAGGACUUGGAGGGAAUAAACACAAAAGGUACGAUUUUUUUUAGAUGGAAAUCUGAGCUUUAUUGACCAUGUAUUUCUUGCCAAGUGGCUUCUUGUCUUUCCUUAACUGUCAUGUCUCAAUUUGAUAAUUGGGAAUUCCUGUCAGGGCUGCUUUAUUUUAUUGUUAUAUUAGUUUGGUUUUGUGUUUUUUUAAUCAAGUUGGUGGGUCCAGAAUUAUGAUGUCGUCAAGGUUCUUUCCUCGACUUGUCUCUAAUUCUUGAAUAUAUUAACAAAACUUUUAAAAUACGUAAAAAUUGAAUAUACUAGAAAUCAAGAAUAUAUAUAUAUAUAUAUAUAUAUAUAUAUAUAUAUAUAUAUGCAUUAUGAAUGAAGAGAUAAUUAAAACAUUGCAUAAUUAUUUUCCUAUAUAUUAAAACAUUUGGAAACAACACUGCAGAAACACUGUAGAUUUACUGUGGACACAGACACAUUGCCCCGUGAAAGACACUAUGUCAUAGAGUAUUUGCACUGUGGACAACAAUGUAGCAUCCUGGGGGGCAUUCCUUUCCUCUCUUUUUUUAGUCAAGAAUUGCGGCUGGGGGUGUGACAUUCUUUGCCAAAAGCUGUUGAGUCUGACUUUGGUAGCCGGACCCAACGCUGUUGGGUCUGAUUGACAAGUCAGACCCAAAACACUUCCAAAACAUGCCAAUAGCAUUGGGUUCUGCAUCCCAGCUAGACCCAACAGAGUAUUUGACUGUGGACGACACUGUAGUGCAUGUGGGGGGCGUUGUCUUUUCUGUUUGUAAGUCAGAAAGGGUUGUUGGAUCGUUGCAGCAGGACCCAAUAAAUUUGAGUCCUGCUUCCACCAGGACCCAAUGGCGUUGAGUCCUGCUGGAACCAUUAAAGUUGGGUCCUGCCCCAGGAGGACCCAAGACUGUAAUUUUUUUUCCUUUUUCAUACGGGUAUGGCUGCAUAGCCAGACCUAGCAGCCAUACCCAAUUAAAUUUCUUGGCUGUUGUCUUCUCUGAUUUAAAUUUAUUUUUCAAAAUAAAUUGAUUGUACUGUGGACAGCACUAUAGCACCUUCCCAGAUCAAUCCCAUCUUUAUCAUCUACACAUGCACGCACAUGCACUUUUUUCCUUUGUCGACAAGGAACUAAAGUUAAUCAAUGCAAGAAAGUAGUAAGAUCACUGACAUCGGCAUAGGAAGAUUGUAAAAAAAAAUUGAUUUCUUUUGGUGGAUGGAUUGAGAAUCCAUGUUAUCAUAUACGUGAGAAUUCAAUCCCCCAUGCCUCUCUACAUCGUGUAUAUAUAUAAUGAAGAAGAUAUAUAUAUAUAUAUAUAUAUAUAUAUAUAUAUAUAUAUAUAUAUAUAUAUAUAUAUCUUCUUCAUUAUAGUAUAACACCACCAUUGAAUAUUAAUGGAAGAUCAUUGAUUAAUAAGGACGACUGGCUUCCAGACCCAGCAGUUAUACCUAAUUAAAUUUCUUUGUUGUUGCCUUCUCUGACUUAAAUUUAUUUCUCAAAAUAAAUUGACGACAUUUUUUUUAUAUUUUAUAAAAGUUGGGUGAUGAUAAAAAAAUUUUCCAUUUCAGGUUGGGUUAAAUUUUCUAAUUAAAUCAUGUUUGAUUUUGGGUUUUGAAAAUUCUUUGAAAACAAUUUGACAAUUUUUAAGUUUUUUUCUUUGUUUCAAAUUAAUAUUUUUGUUAUAUUUUUAAAUGUUUUAAAAAAAUAUAUGUUGAGAUUAUGUCUGGCUGCGUUGGCCCCUGCCUUCCAACAUGACCCAACUGUGUUGGCCCCCUACUCGCAGUAGGACCCAACGCUUAGCCUGUAAGCCCUUUUUUCUCUGAAAGAGAGAGAUUCAUACUUAUCAGUAUUACAAGGGAAAGAAAAGCUCUGAAACCGAAAAGGGAUAUCCUAAUUUGAUUGCUUACUUGAUUGCUUUCUAAAUAGGAAGUGCAUUUCUCCUAGAACCAGCUGGCUUACGGGCUUACAGGGAAACAAAAAUGCUUGGAAGUGACACUUCAAUAGGCACUAAAAUUAGAUUUCUCUGAUUUAAAUUCAUUUUUGAAAAUAAAUUUAUGCGACUUUUAUUAUAUUGACGAAAAAUUUAGUGAUGAUAUUAUUAUUUUUUUCAGGUUGGGUUGAAUUUUCUAAUUAAAUCAUGUUUGAUUUUGCGUUUCAAAAAUUCUUUUAAAAAAAAUUUGAUAAUUUUUAAUUUUUUUCUUUACUUUAAAUUAAUAUUUUUUUUUAUGUUUUUGUAUUUUUUUUUUUCAAAAAAUAUGUUGAGAUUGUCUUUGACUCGAAGCCAGACCCAAGAAAUUUUAAAAUUUUAAUUUUUUUCUUUACUUCAAAAUAAUAAUUUUUUGAUAUUUUCGUAUUAUUUUUAAAAUAUAUUUUCUAAAAAAAUAUAUUGAGAUUGUGUCUGGAUGAGAGGGAAGACCCAAGAAAUUUAAUUUUUUUUCUUUACUUCAAAUUAAUAUUCUUUUGAUAAUUUUGUAUUAUGUUUUUAAAUAUUAUUUUAAAAACAAUUAUGCUAAGAUUGGGUUUAGCUGCGUCACCAGACCCAUGGCAGCAGUGGGCCCUGCCUACAAGCAGGACCCACCACUACUGGGUCCUUCUACGAAGCAUGACCCAAUGAUGUUGGACCCUGCUGCCCAGCAGCGAUGGGCCGUCCUCCAGAACCCAUUAGCUUUGGGUCUUGCGGCUAGCACGACCCAUCAAAAAGCGUUGAGUCCUGUUGGGGGCAAGACCUCAUAAGCCAAUACUGUAAUGUGUUUUUCUUUUCUCUUAUUUUUUUUUCACAGGGUAAAGAGGAAAUAUUAUUAUUAUUAUAUUAUUAUGUUACUGUUACUGUUAUUGUUAUUGUUAUUGUUAUUGUUAUCAUUAAUAAAUUUAAAGAAAAAAAAUUAUUACAAUCGAAGAAAAACCAUAAAUUUUUUUGAAGAGAUUAAAAAAUAUAAAAAUUUGGGUUAGACAAGUUUAACAUCAUUAUUAAUAUUAUAAAUAUUAUUAUUUGUAUUAUAAAUAUUAUUAUUUUUAAUACAAGUAAUAUUAUUAAUAUAAUAAUUAAUAAAUUUGAAAGAAAAUAUCAUUAAUAUUGAAAAAUAACCAUAGAUUUGAAGGUUAAAAUUAAAAAUUAUUUUUAUUUUUAUUAACUUGGGUUUGGCAUUCCCUUCUAAACCCGAGAAACUUGGGGCAGGAAAGGGACACAUGAUUGAAGUUGCUUGGGAGAGGCAGGAGCGUGAAUCUAAGUUCCUUGGGUCUUACAGUCACACCUGACCCAACAUACUUGGGUUAGACGUUUGGAGCCAAGUUUGAGUCUGACUGCAACGCCAGACCCAAGAGCGUUGGGUCUGGCCGAAAGGACGGACCCCAAGCUCAGGGGCCUUCCUUUUUAAACAGACCCAAUGCUCUUGCGAGCAGGACCCACUAAAUUUGGAACAUGCUGCCACUAGAACCUAGCAGCGGUGGCCCUACUGCCAGCCCCACCUGCCUAGCAAGACCUAAUGUUGUUGGGUCCUUCUGUCAAACAUGACCCAAUGAUGUUGGGCCCAGAUGGGUACCCAGCUGCUGGGUCAUUCUGUCAAGCAUGACCCAAUGAUGCUAGAACUUUAAUAGAUUCGGAUUGCAGCUAGACCCAAAGCUCUUGGGUCUGACAUUUAUAAGGGGCGCAAAGCUAUUGGGCGCAUCACGAACCAGAGAAAUAGAAUCCCACAAUCUUCCCAACCAGAUUGCUGACCUUAACCUAAAAAUUAGUGUCGAGCAUAAUCAGAAAAAACAUUAGCCCUUAAAUUAAGAGGGUAAACAAAAAUUGAGGAUUUUCUUAAUCAUAAAAGCUCUAGAAAUUGAUCACAAACUUGUUCUUCAGCAAGGCUCGCAAUCUAAUUUAAACAUGGUAUCCAUCUUAAUUACGAGAAAAACCUGCAAGUUUAAUAAGACAAGUAGAAGUAGAUCGCAUAUGACCAGAGAAAUCCAUAAGCUAGAAGCAGUACCUGGUCACCAUUGUUGCGGAUGAGAAAGUCCCUCUCUUCCAACGAAAGAAGCGAUGAAAGGUCGUGCGAAACGUCUUCGGUGGCCAUUGUUAAGUGAUGAACUAC